UUCACGCUUGUGAAACCUGCGUUCACGCAAAGAGCCAGGACGUGGGUUGUCAUGUUGACUCUUUUUAUUAGUUAUGGGUCCGGAGUCUGGACUUAAAAUGAGUUUAAUCGACCUGCCAGGUGAAAGUCGCGACGCUCACUGCGUGCGCCUGAAAAGUGAGUUCGAGUUUGUCCGCUAACAUGAGUAAAAAGGACACUAGCGCGGUGACAGGCGGGCUAAAUAAAGGACACUCUUUUGAACGAACCCGCUGCAAACGAUGAGGAGGAGAAAAACGCCGAGGCCUACGAGGAGCUCAUUCAAUUCUUGGACGACAAGAGCCCGCGGCUGGUAAAUGCGUGACGCGCCGGAUGACGGACGCCGGGCGCUGAAGAUUCUCCGGGGGUACUGCGCUGGGAGAGGGUCACCUGUAUGAGGGCGAAAGCACCACUGGACACGGUGAUGUAGCCCAAUGUCAAAAGAUAUUUUAAAUAUGCACUUCAUAGACGAC